GCGGUCGUAGCUCAGUUGGUUAGAGCGUUGGUUUGUGGUACCAAAAGUCGCGGGUUCGAGUCCCGUCGAUCGCC
rnacentral:tRNA from 1 species